GACAAGCUGGCCGAGUGGUCAAGGCUACAGACUGCUAAUCCAAUGUGCUCUUCGUGCAUGGGUUUGAAUCCCACCCCUUGUUG
rnacentral:tRNA from 1 species